rnacentral:rRNA from 1 species
UGGGGAAUUUUCCGCAAUGGGCGAAAGCCUGACGGAGCAAUACCGCGUGAGGGAGGAAGGCUCUUGGGUUGUAAACCUCUUUUCUCAAGGAAGAAGAAAGUGACGGUACUUGAGGAAUCAGCAUCGGCUAACUCCGUGCCAGCAGCCGCGGUAAUACGGAGGAUGCAAGCGUUAUCCGGAAUGAUUGGGCGUAAAGCGUCCGCAGGUGGCGAUGUAAGUCUGCUGUUAAAGAGUGAGGCUCAACCUCAUAAGAGCAGUGGAAACUACAUAGCUAGAGUGCGUUCGGGGCAGAGGGAAUUCCUGGUGUAGCGGUGAAAUGCGUAGAGAUCAGGAAGAACACCGGUGGCGAAAGCGCUCUGCUAGGCCGCAACUGACACUGAGGGACGAAAGCUAGGGGAGCGAAUG